GAUGAACGCUGGCGGCGUGCCUAAUACAUGCAAGUCGAGCGAACAGACGAGGAGCUUGCUCCUCUGACGUUAGCGGCGGACGGGUGAGUAACACGUGGAUGACCUACCUAUAAGACUGGGAUAACUUCGGGAAACCGGAGCUAAUACCGGAUAACAUGUUGAACCGCAUGGUUCAACAGUGAAAGACGGUCUUGCUGUCACUUAUAGAUGGAUCAGCGCCGCAUUAGCUAGUUGGUAAGGUAACGGCUUACCAAGGCAACGAUGCGUAGCCGACCUGAGAGGGUGAUCGGCCACACUGGAACUGAGACACGGUCCAGACUCCUACGGGAGGCAGCAGUAGGGAAUCUUCCGCAAUGGGCGAAAGCCUGACGGAGCAACGCCGCGUGAGUGAAGAAGGUCUUCGGAUCGUAAAACUCUGUUAUUAGGGAAGAACAAAUGUGUAAGUAACUAUGCACGUCUUGACGGUACCUAAUCAGAAAGCCACGGCUAACUACGUG
rnacentral:rRNA from 1 species